UACGGAAGGCAGCAGUGGGGAAUAUUGGACAAUGGGCGAAAGCCUGAUCCAGCAAUGCCGCGUGAGUGAUGAAGGCCUUAGGGUUGUAAAGCUCUUUUACCCGGGAUGAUAAUGACAGUACCGGGAGAAUAAGCUCCGGCUAACUCCGUGCCAGCAGCCGCGGUAAUACGGAGGGAGCUAGCGUUAUUCGGAAUUACUGGGCGUAAAGCGCACGUAGGCGGCUUUGUAAGUAAGAGGUGAAAGCCCAGAGCUCAACUCUGGAAUUGCCUUUUUAGACUGCAUCGCUUGAAUCAUGGAGAGGUCAGUGGAAUUCCGAGUGUAGAGGUGAAAUUCGUAGAUAUUCGGAAGAACACCAGUGGCGAAGGCGGCUGACUGGACAUGUAUUGACGCUGAGGUGCGAAAGCGUGGGGAGCAAACAGGGAUUAGAUAC
rnacentral:rRNA from 1 species